AUGGAAACCAACUUCCUUUUUUUCUGCCUCAGACUCCAUAUGCAAAUGGACUGGUGCAUGACCCAGUCAUGGGGAGCCAAGCCAGCUAUGGUAUGCAGCAGAUGGCAGGAUUUGGGAGAUUGUACCCCGUAUAUCCAGCACCUAAUGUAGUUGCCAACACCAGUGGUUCUGGGCCCAAGAAGAACGGGAGUGUCUCUUGUUACAAUUGUGGUGUAAGCGGACACUAUGCACAAGACUGUAAGCAGUCAUCCAUGGAGGCCAAUCAGCAAGGCACUUACAGACUGAGAUACGCACCUCCCCUCCCCCCUUCUAAUGAUACGUUGGAUUCUGCAGACUGACCGAGUAAAGCUUGCCUGCUUAAUGCACUCACGUGUGGGGAGUCAUGGGUGUGGAUGAUACGUUGGAUUCUGCAGACUGACCGAGUAAAGCUUGCCUGCUUAAUGCACUCACGUGUGGGGAGUCAUGGGUGUGGAGGGGAGGAAAGGAAAGGUCUUCAGCUCAACUCGACUCAGAGGCCUGAAUCAACCCCGCGAGUGUGAAGCCCCUACCACCUGGCUGUGGUCUGCAGCAUCUCCCCAGCUGUGUUUGUGAGAUUAGCAGAGCAGUGCGAGCAGUGCGAGCAGUGCGGUGGUGGCUCGGUGGUGGCUGGCUCUCCUGCCAUCCUAUCUGCUUUCUGCUCUGCCUCCAACAAGGCCUCUGUCAAUUGCUGCAGCCUCUUUAACCCUUCUUUAGCCACUGUGCAACCAACAUGUGUAAUACAGAUAUAA
rnacentral:lncRNA from 1 species